rnacentral:rRNA from 1 species
GGGUCAGUGGGUUGGUCGUGCCACCGGUACGUACUGGUCUCACUGAUUCCUCCUUCCUGAAGAACCGUAAUGCCAUUAAUUUGGUGUUGCGGGGAAACAGGACUGUUACUUUGAAAAAAUUAGAGUGUUUAAAGCAAGCCAACGCUUGAAUACAUUAGCAUGGAAUAAUGAAAUAGGACGAUCGAUCCUAUUUUGUUGGUUUCUAGGAUUGACGUA